CGGGUGGUAAUGCCGGAUGCUCCAGUUGAUCGCAUGGUCUUCUGGGAAAGCCUUUGCGGCAUGGGAUGGGGUCGCGUCCUAUCAGCUUGAUGGCGGGGUAACGGCCCACCAUGGCUUCGACGGGUAGCCGGCCUGAGAGGGCGACCGGCCACAUUGGGACUGAGAUACGGCCCAGACUCCUACGGGAGGCAGCAGUGGGGAAUAUUGCACAAUGGGCGCAAGCCUGAUGCAGCGACGCCGCGUGAGGGAUGGAGGCCUUCGGGUUGUAAACCUCUUUUGUUAGGGAGCAAGGCAUUUUGUGUUGAGUGUACCUUUCGAAUAAGCACCGGCUAACUACGUGCCAGCAGCCGCGGUAAUACGUAGGGUGCAAGCGUUAUCCGGAAUUAUUGGGCGUAAAGGGCUCGUAGGCGGUUCGUCGCGUCCGGUGUGAAAGUCCAUCGCUUAACGGUGGAUYCGCGCCGGGUACGGGCGGGCUUGAGUGCGGUAGGGGAGACUGGAAUUCCCGGUGUAACGGUGGAAUGUGUAGAUAUCGGG
rnacentral:rRNA from 1 species